rnacentral:rRNA from 1 species
AGGGAAUCUUCGGCAAUGGACGGAAGUCUGACCGAGCAACGCCGCGUGAGUGAAGAAGGUUUUCGGAUCGUAAAGCUCUGUUGUAAGAGAAGAACGAGUGUGAGAGUGGAAAGUUCACACUGUGACGGUAUCUUACCAGAAAGGGACGGCUAACUACGUGCCAGCAGCCGCGGUAAUACGUAGGUCCCGAGCGUUGUCCGGAUUUAUUGGGCGUAAAGCGAGCGCAGGCGGUUAGAUAAGUCUGAAGUUAAAGGCUGUGGCUUAACCAUAGUAGGCUUUGGAAACUGUUUAACUUGAGUGCAAGAGGGGAGAGUGGAAUUCCAUGUGUAGCGGUGAAAUGCGUAGAUAUAUGGAGGAACACCGGUGGCGAAAGCGGCUCUCUGGCUUGUAACUGACGCUGAGGCUCGAAAGCGUGGGGAGCAAACAGGAUUAGAUACCCUGGUAGUCCACGCUGUAAACGAUGAGUGCUAGGUGUUAGACCCUUUCCGGGGUUUAGUGCCGUAGCUAACGCAUUAAGCACUCCGCCUGGGGAGUACGACCGCAAGGUUGA